rnacentral:misc_RNA from 1 species
GAAAAUGAAAUUCCGGGCGUGUUUAUCUUUGGAGAUGGAAAUAUUACACUUAAUCCUGGAAGGAAAGCAGUGAUUCUCAAAGUUGUGAACCGUGGAGACAGACCAAUUCAGGUGGGCAGCCACUAUCAUUUCAUUGAGACAAACCCAUGCUUGUGUUUUGAUCGAAUGAAAGCAUAUGGCAUGCGCCUGAACAUUCUAGCAGGAACAGCUAUACGAUUUGAGCCAGGGGAAUGCAAAAGUGUUGUCCUUGUAAGCAUUGGAGGUAAAAAGGUUAUCAGAGGCGGC